rnacentral:rRNA from 1 species
UGGAGUAUGUGGUUUAAUUCGAAGCAACGCGAAGAACCUUUACCAGGGCUUGACAUCCCUUGAAGCAGCUAGAGAUAGCUGUGUCCUUCGGGACAAGGAGACAGGUGGUGCAUGGUUGUCGUCAGCUCGUGUCGUGAGAUGUUGGGUUAAGUCCCGCAACGAGCGCAACCCCUAUUGUUAGUUGCCAUCAUUCAGUUGGGCACUCUAGCGAGACUGCCGGUAAUAACCGGAGGAAGUGGGAUGACGUCAAAUCAUCAUGCCCCUUAUGACCUGGGCUACACACGUGCUACAAUGGUUGGUACAACGAGUUGCGAGUCGGUGACGGCGAGCUAAUCUCUUAAAGCCAAUCUCAGUUCGGAUUGUAGGCUGCAACUCGCCUACAUGAAGUCGGAAUCGCUAGUAAUCGCGGAUCAGCACGCCGCGGUCGAAUACGUUCCCGGGCCUU